rnacentral:rRNA from 1 species
UGCAAGUCGAACGGGAUAUUAUUUGUAGCAAUACAAAUGAUGUCCAGUGGCGUAAGGGUGCGUAACACGUGGGGAAUCUGCCGAGAAGUGGGGGAUAGCUCGUCGAAAGGCGAAUUAAUACCGCAUGUGGUUAGUGAGGACAUCCUCAUGACACCAAAGCCGGGGCAACCUGGCGCUUCUUGAUGACCCCGCGGCCUAUCAGCUAGUUGGUGAGGUAACGGCUCACCAAGGCUAUGACGGGUAGCUGGUCUGAGAGGACGACCAGCCACACUGGAACUGAGACACGGUCCAGACACCUACGGGUGGCAGCAGUCGAGAAUUUUUCUCAAUGGGGGAAACCCUGAAGGAGCGACGCCGCGUGGAGGAUGAAGGUCUUCGGAUUGUAAACUCCUGUCAUUUGGGAACAAUUGGUGUCGAUUAACUGUCAAUGCCUUGAUAGUACCAGAAGAGGAAGAGACGGCUAACUCUGUGCCAGCAGCCGCGGUAAUACAGAGGUCUCAAGCGUUGUUCGGAUUCAUUGGGCGUAAAGGGUGCGUAGGUGGCGGGGUAAGUCUGGUGUGAAAUCUCGGAGCUCAACUCCGAAACUGCACUGGAUACUGCCUUGCUUGAGUACUGGAGAGGAGAUUGGAAUUUACGGUGUAGCAGUGAAAUGCGUAGAUAUCGUAAGGAAGACCAGUGGCGAAGGCGAAUCUCUGGACAGUUACUGACACUGAGGCACGAAGGCCAGGGGAGCAAACGGGAUUAGAUACCCCGGUAGUCCUGGCAGUAAACGGUGCGCGUUUGGUGUGGGAGGAUUCGACCCCUUCUGUGCCGGAGCUAACGCGUUAAACGCGCCGCUGGGGAGUACGGUCGCAAGAUUAAAACUCAAAGAAAUUGACGGGGGCCGCCAAGCGGUGGAGUAUGUGGCUUAAUUCGAUGCACGCGAAGAACCUUACCUAGCCUUGACAUGCAUCUCAAGUCGGUGAAAGCCGGC